AUACUUACCUGGCAGGGGAGAUACCAUGAUCACAAAGGUGGUUUUCCCAGGACGAGGCUUAUCCAUUGCACUCCAGAUGUGCUGACCCCUGCGAUUUCCCCAAAUGUGGGAAACUCAACUGCAUAAUUUGUGGUAGUGGGGGACUGCAUUCGCGCUUUCCCCUG
ensembl:snRNA RNU1-89P RNA, U1 small nuclear 89, pseudogene